rnacentral:rRNA from 1 species
CCCGCACAAGCGGCGGAGCAUGUGGAUUAAUUCGAUGCAACGCGAAGAACCUUACCUGGGCUUGACAUACACCAGAUCGGCGCAGAGAUGCGUUUUUCCCUUGUGGUUGGUGUACAGGUGGUGCAUGGUUGUCGUCAGCUCGUGUCGUGAGAUGUUGGGUUAAGUCCCGCAACGAGCGCAACCCUUGUCUUAUGUUGCCAGCACGUGAUGGUGGGGACUCAUGAGAGACUGCCGGGGUUAACUCGGAGGAAGGUGGGGAUGACGUCAAAUCAUCAUGCCCCUUAUGUCCAGGGCUUCACACAUGCUACAAUGGUCGGUACAACGCGUGUGCGACACUGUGAGGUGAAGCUAAUCGCUCUAAAGCCGGUCGUAGUUCGGAUUGGGGUCUGCAACUCGACCCCAUGAAGUCGGAGUCGCUAGUAAUCGCAGAUCAGCAACGCUGCGGUGAAUACGUUCCCGGGCCUU